rnacentral:rRNA from 1 species
GACAGGGUCCACCUCUUCCCAUUCCGAACAGAGAAGUUAAGCCUGCCAGCGCCGAUGAUACUGCUAUACCAAGUGGGAAAGUAGGUCGCCGCCAACU